GCCCCAAAAAGCCCCCCAUUUCCCCAUGGCCGCCGGCAGCUCGACGGCGCGCACUGCCCAGCUCGGCAGCGCGCCGAGCAAGGAGAAGCGCCCCGCGUCCGCCGCCGGUGCAGCGCCGUCCACUGCCCAGGAGCCGCCGCCGCCGCUGCCGCCGCCUCCACUGCCCCCCCGGCGCCGAGGUCGAGGUACUCGUCGACGACGCCGGUUUCCACGGCGCCUGGGUCGAGGCCACCGUUGUCCGCCUCGAGCCCGAGCUUGACGGCCCCGGCGCCGCCCGCUACACCGUCGCCUACUCAGGCUACUCCCACAUCGCGGCCGAUGGCGGCGGCGCCCCCGCCGAGUCCGUCGCCGCCUCGCACGUCCGCCCGCGGCCACCGCGGCCGCCGACCCCUCGCCGCUUCUGCACCCACGACGUCGUCGAUGCGUUCCACUUCCACCGCAGGGGCUGGUGGUCCGGCGUCGUCUUCCCCUGCCCCGCCACCCCCCGGCGCUGCCGAGUCCGUCACCGUCGCGUUCCCCAUCACCCGGGAGGUGAUAACCGUCCCGCGCCACUAUGUCCGCCCCCGCCGCGACUACGUCGGCGGCGAGUGGGUGCCCUCGCAGACCGCCAUCGCCAUCCAGCCGGCCCGCGCGGUCAGGGUCUACGAGGCCGGGGAGAAGAUCGAGGCCGUGAGGGACCGGGAGCCGUAUGGCAGCUCCUGGUUCCCUGCCACGGUGGCGAAGGCGGUCGAUGGGCUUAGCUACGUUGUGGAGUAUUCCGAUGAGGAGGAGGAAGGGGAUAAGGUGAUGGAGUAUCUGCAUUGGCAGUACAUCCGACCGGCCGUGGAGCGGCAUUGGGCAUGGGAGGACGGUUUCCAGAUUGCGCCUGGCUCUGCGGUGGAGGCGUACUGCAACGGGGCAUGGUCUCCUGGGGUGGUGCGAGGAAUGUCCGGGGAGGGUGAUGAGUAUGAGGUGAUUGUCAAUGGCAAGGAGGCCGAGCAGGUGGUGAUCAAGGUGCUGGAGUUGCUCCGGCCGCGGCAUGAGUGGGAUGAGUCACUGGAGCGUUGCGAGUACUGAGGAAAAUAAUUACCACUACGUGAAACUUCUAGAUUGUCUUCUGUAGUAAAUGGAGAUUGGAUGCUUGUACAUAUACCUGCGGGAUUCUUAGUGUAAACAAUCUGUUAGUACUGUGAGAAGAACUAGGAGAAGUGGCAUGUGUCUAUUUGGAGUAAAACUUUUUUUAGUUAGAAGAAUAGAAGUCGAUGAUCAAUUUGGUUCUCCUGUAUUAUAAGAAAAACUAAUAAAAUAGUUUUUACUAAACAGAUGGCUUUAAAGUGUAAAGAAUCCUUUUAGAAGCGAAUGAUGCAUUUGUUCAUUCGUCACAUUUACAGUCUAUUGACCAGUUACUAGUUCUGAAAACUUCAUAAACAUGGCUGAUUUAUUUGUCCAACAGUUUGCUGGGUAGCCAUUUUAGUUGAUGCCUAGCUAAUUAAUCUAUGGAUCUCACCAUGCUUUUCUUUCUGAAAGUGUACUAGUAGUUGCUUUAAAUUCUAGCUAAUUUAUUCAUGCAACAGUCUGCAGUUUUCGUCUUUUAAGGAGUACCCAUUGUUCAUUGGUGUAAACAUGCCUUAUUUCUGUUAAGGUUCUUUUGUAGUUUUAUUAAUUGGAAACGCAUCCCCUAGAAUUGUAACUUACAAGGUUCUUAAAAGUGUUAUAUUUGCAUGGGUUCGUAUCUCUCUUUCACUAUUUAAUUAAUGAGAGUCUAUUGUAUGGUUUCAUUGUUCUUUCUCAGACUUAUUAGAUUUAAAGUAUCUAUUAUCAUAGUGCAUUAGUGCCUUGAAUCGCACUUGCUGUUUUUUUGCUAUGUAGAUUCACUUUUCAAGAUAUAUGCAAGGAAAUUCAUGGGAUAGCCAUUUUUGUCACCCUUUUUGUGGACAUUGGCUAAAUGCUGAGAUUCUUUUUAGUCUUCUUUCACUGUCAAUCUUCUCAUUGCAACUGUACAUGGAUUUUUUUUUUUGGCAUUGUAUCCUAUAUGAGAUUCAUGGUUCAUGCUUAGUUCUUUCAUUAUCUCAUUUUACUUGGGAUUGCUCAUAAUUUUUUGUCUGUGAAGAAAUGAACUUAUUUUGGAAAAAGAAACCUGCAAUGUUAUAUUAAAAGCUAUUUUCUUUAGUACUUUUAUUUCCAGGCUGCUUAUGAUAUAGGUGCAGAUGGCACCAUGGCUUGCUAGAUUGCUAUAACACACGGUAGUUCACAACAAUGGGCAUUAAAUACAGUUUCUUAACUGUGGAAGGACAUUCAACUAGUAAUAGUAAUAGAGACUUUGGUGGCUACAGUAGAAUAGAUUAGUUUAGUCUUAAUGUUUUCAGCGUCGCAUCCUACCCUACAACUUGCUUGCUCCAUUCUGAUAUUUCAAAACUU